CACAAGCGGUGGAUGAUGUGGAUUAAUUCGAUGCAACGCGAAAACCUUACCUACCCUUGACAUGUCCGGAAUCCCGAAGAGAUUUGGGAGUGCUCGCAAGAGAGCCGGAACACAGGUGCUGCAUGGCUGUCGUCAGCUCGUGUCGUGAGAUGUUGGGUUAAGUCCCGCAACGAGCGCAACCCUUGUCAUUAGUUGCCAUCAUUUGGUUGGGCACUCUAAUGAGACUGCCGGUGACAAACCGGAGGAAGGUGGGGAUGACGUCAAGUCCUCAUGGCCCUUAUGGGUAGGGCUUCACACGUCAUACAAUGGUCGGUACAGAGGGUUGCCAACCCGCGAGGGGGAGCUAAUCCCACAAAGCCGAUCGUAGUCCGGAUCGCAGUCUGCAACUCGACUGCGUGAAGUCGGAAUCGCUAGUAAUCGUGGAUCAGCAUGUCACGGUGAAUACGCUCCCGGGUCUU
rnacentral:rRNA from 1 species